AUGCGUAUCACCUAGGGAUCUUGUUACAAUGCAGAUUCUAAUUCACCAGAUUUGGGGGGAGUCUAGGAUUCUGUAUUUCUAAUAAGCUUUCAGGUAGUGCUUAU
rnacentral:pre_miRNA from 1 species